rnacentral:rRNA from 1 species
UACAGAGACUGCAAGCGUUAUUCGGAUUCACUGGGCGUAAAGGGUGCGCAGGCGGUCGGGUGUGUCAGAUGUGAAAUCCCGAGGCUCAACCUCGGAACUGCGUCUGAAACUACUCGACUAGAGUACUGGAGAGGGUAACGGAAUUCACGGUGUAGCAGUGAAAUGCGUAGAUAUCGUGAGGAACACCAGAGGCGAAGGCGGUUACCUGGACAGUUACUGACGCUCAGGCACGAAGGUCAGGGGAGCAAACGGG